GGCCAUAUCACGUUGAAAAACCAGUUCCUGUACUAUCACCAAAGUUAAGCAACGUCGAGCAUGGUCGGUACCCAGAUGAGUGACCGCUUAGGAAUAUCAGGUGCUGUAA